UCUAAACCCUACAAAUUCUAAUUCUAUCUUCGCAUAACUAUUAGCAUUUUGAUACUACUAUACCCGAGUAGGGCAUCCAUCGCUUCAAUUCGAUCGAGCAGUUUUUCCGAAUGUUAAGUGAUCUUGCAAUUUUUUGAAACGGCCGCAGAUAACAGAUUUGAAUCCAAUAAAAAAUUCAGCUUGCCCUUAACUAAGAUGAUCUGCAGGUGUGUGCAGUUGAUGUUACAAUUGUCUUCUUUGGUUCUUAAAAGCUAUGUGUGCAACACACGAAGCAUUUACAUGAAAAAGAAAAGUGAAGAUUAGUCAAAGGAGGAAUUUCCCAGUUCGACAACCAAACCAUUUGUUGAGAAUGACAAUGAAGACAGUGACUUGUGAUCCAAAGACCAAGAAGAUUCUAUGGGUAUAAGAAAAAACGAUGAAGCCAAAGAUAAAAUAGCAGUACAAGCAUCUAACCAUUAUAAUGUUAGUCAAAAUAAUGACCGUGAACCCCUAAUAAACUCUGAUGUGGAUGCAAAAAAGCAUGAUUCAUGCUUAGAGCAGAGUACAGCUGCCCUAAGAUCAGAUAUGAAACCCAUUUUAGUGUUGAAAUAAAGGCCUGUACUUGUUUGUCAGAGACGAAGAUGAAGAUGUCGAUGAAAACCAUUGGCUUGUGGGAGAAGUGGAAAUGCAAUGAAGAGGAACGAGAAUUUGGAGGUCUGACUGAGCUUUUUCAAGACGAGGCUGAACUGUCAGGUUCCGAAGAUGGGAGCGGUGGCGAACGGGAAAACGAAAUAGAUGACCGGAAGGAGGAGGAAGGCGAUAAAGAGGAUAUUGAUGAAAACGAAGUCUGUGAGAAAAUUGGAAGAGCCCAUAUGAAAAGAAUGCUUGAUCAAGACCAGCGCGAUGUUCGAUUUUUUCAAGAACUUUUUCUCGAAGAUGAUGGUUUGCAUUCUGGUGGCGGUGGAAGGCAAAGACAAUUUCAGUGGAAACGGGCCGAUGGUGAAGACAUUGAGUGAGAUGAUGCCCGUCCGAAAAUUCAAGAAGAUGGAAUCGCUAAAGAACGGAAUAAUCUCACGUGGAUGAAAAUUCGCAGUGAUAGAGAAAACUGGUUCUAAGAACAAAAGUCGCAUUAGGAAACGAAUAAAGAAGUACCAUUGGUUAUGAGCCAGAGGACUAAAAUGGUGAAAAUCAACACUACUUCCAAAACCAUUAAUCAAAUUGCAGAAGGCGAUCUCACUGCAACUACCGACGC